GGUGCGAGCGAGGAAGAAGCGCGAUACGGGUUGCCCCCUUUUCCUCCCUGUCGCUCGCACUACCGUGUACUUAUUUCUGUCUCGCUCCUUCUUUCACUCUAUCGGUGCUGGCGUUUCGAAACAGUUGUCAAAUCGCAAACAUCGCCGCUCGUUUGCUUCACUCGUCGCUGGUCGUUCCGCAAAAUGGAUUAACGCGCGGCUCGCGACUCUGUUGGCGACCGAAAGGCCCAGGUAGAGUCGACGUCAAUCAACGUUAAUUUAUCGACGUCGUUCGCCGCUUCGGGACGCGUCGCGACCCGCUGCGUCGCGACCUCUUGAGCCUCGAGCGGCCCCGAAAAAUCUUGCUAUUUCCCCAUGAACUGCAAGGUGUAUCAAUAUUUAUAUAACAUGACGGAAUGGUCAAUUAAUUCCAUGAGCGCAGUCUCUAUUUUCAUACAAUUAUGUAGUUGAACCAGUGGCGACGAUAAUUUUUUGAGAAACAAAGGGUGGGAAGAAAUCGCGAUUAUUGUCAAGUAUUUGGUUGUGGUUUGUGAAUCUUUUUUAAAUCCAGCAUUGAAGCAAGCGAAUACAACUGAGAAAAAUUAAAAACGGCGAAGAAGGGUCGGUUUACCGCAGUGGUGAUGCGGGGAUGUGGAUCGGCAUCGACUUAAUAGGAGGCCGAGACGGCUGGGGUUGGGGUAUUUCCCUUUCGUUCCUGGUCCUUCUUUGCUGGUGUCACAUCAACGCUGACGGAAACCUUACUGUUGCUAUAGCAUCAAAUGCUUCCCAAAAUGCAGUCACGUCAGACAUUGCGACGAUGCCACCGACAAAUCAAGAACAUGAUCAGUGUAGAAACGUGACCACCGGCAAUGGAUUAGGUGCCGGACUGUCGGUGGUCAAUCACGGGUCCGUCUAUCCUCAUCCGCCGAUAGUGCCUGAGACGUUUUUGAAUGGAGCUCUGACCUGCCAACCCUAUCAUGGGUUCUAUGUGAACCACAUCUACUUCCAGCUGGCAAAUGCCUUCUUCCUUCUAUCUCACCUCGCCCCAAGUGGCAUCCAUGGUGUACUCUAUUUGCGAUGCACUCUUCUUGUUGGCUGUGCCUUCCUCACCCUGUGGGGCUGGGCAAUAGCCUGCUGGCUCGAUGCUGUAUUAUGGAACGCCCUCUUUGUCGCAAUUAAUUUCAUUCAUGUCUGCACGCUUCUUUACAAGCUCAGACCUGUUAGGUUCACGCACGAGGUAGAAGAUGUCUAUGCAGCUGUGUUCCAGCCACUAAAAGUUUCACGGCAUCAAUUUAAGAAAGUGUUAAACUGUAUGAAGGUUAUUCGUCAGCUCAAAUAUCAAGAAGUCUAUGCACAGGAAAAAGUUACUAAGGUCGAUUCGCUGUCCUUAGUCCUUUCUGGAAAGUUGGUAGUCUCGCAAAAUGGUAGAGCAUUGCACAUUGUCUUUUCACAUCAGUUCCUGGACUCGCCAGAAUGGUUUGGAGUAUCAACCGACGAGUAUUUUCAGGUGUCGAUAACGGCAAUGGAGGAGUCGAGAAUAUUACUCUGGCAUCGGGACAAAUUGAAACUAAGCAUAAUCACCGAUCAAUUUCUUCAGACCGUUUUCGAUCAUAUUUUGGGCCGAGAUGUAGUUAAGAAAUUAAUGCAGGUGAGCGAAACGACAGCAGCUAGCACGCAUCAGCAACAAAAUGGUCAAGUGGUCAGCUUGACCGGGAUGAGCGGUAUAGAAAGCGAUCCCGACAGCAAACUUUUCGUCGUGAAAAAGGCUGGUGAUAGCCAGGGAAUCACGGCUCUAAUUAAUCGCCAACUCCAAGAGGAAAGAGUGCCGCUGCUGUACACCAACCCGAACGUGCUGAACAGCGCCCUCUAUCGCCUGAACCACCUACACGCUCCUUACAUAUUGCCGUUGUAUCCUGCACGCAACAACGUCCCGCCGUCCCACGUGACGUCUUCCUCGACCAAUCCCGUGACCCCUUAAACUAGAAACAACCCUUCUUGGGCCAUUCUGGCACCCCCGGAUUAUUGUUUCUUGUUUUGUAUCGGUCACCUUGCAUCCAGGUUUGCCUAGGAUUAAAUACUAUUAUUGUGCGGCAGCAGAUCCGAACGCUUGGCGACUUGGAAGGAUCGAAGAGACUGAUCACGAGACACCGGUCUAAGCGACCCCAAAUGCGAUCCUUCCGUCAUCCUCGAAUGUCAAUAUACAACGCAUUUCGCAUUGUGUGAACUUCUGCGUCGACUGUGUCAAGCUUUUCGGUAAGUCAACUUCCAUUGGCUCGAAACCGGAGCCGAGGCUGCGAGGGUGUAUGUACAGAAUUUCCUCGACUAGGGAGACAUGUGACUUUGUCGAAUGACCGGCCUCCAGGAUAUUUGCAAAUGACUGAUCAUUUCCAGAGACUGAUCGCUUUGAGUAAACGGAGAGAGGAGUACUCACCGAUUAAUUUCAUCGGGGCUGUCCUUUAGCCACACGAGUAGCCAUUUUGUGUUUGCGUGUUAUACGUAGAAGCGCACAACAAAUACAUUCUUCCUGGUAUAGAUACGCAUUGUGUCAACGAAACGACAAUAGACUACCCGAACUUCCCUAAAAAGGCAUACGUUAACGUUAACGGCGAGAGGUCUAGUUAAUAAUUAAUACCGAGCUGUAAUCAAUAUUUGAUUUAGGACUGUUUAGUUCUGGCCUUGCUCAGCAGUCGUAUGCCAAUCCACUAGUCAAUGAAGUUCCGAUGUAGCGAUAUUUCUUUCUGCAGCGCGGAAGACCAUUUGCAUAUACCUUGUAAAAUACCGCUUAUUUUGCUUCGCUAUGUGAACCCUCUAUAUCUUGAUCAAAGUGUAUACAUUCUUACCUAGCUGGAGAAUCCUACGAGGAAAGUCCGGGUAAUCCCCUGGGGUUUCAUCUCGCUCGGAAUUUUCAUGAACGAGGGAAAAUCUCGAGGAGAUUUUCUGUACUUUUGAGGAUUUAGAGGGACCCUAAGUGACUACACUGAGAAAGAAAAAAUUCUAUAUACCAAAGAAAUACUUCUUUGGAUGGUACCGAAGAGAUAUUUCGUUAAUCCACAGAACAAUUAUCUGACUAAUCAACUGUAAUAAAUUGUCAUCCUUCCGCGGAAACGUUACAUCCGAUUUAUUCGAGUUUAUUCGAGUCAAAUAAUUAUUCUUUGGAUUAACUAAAUAUUUCUUUGGCUCAAUGGAAUUGUUUUUUUUCUCAGUGUACAAAUGAUUUCCGAUUUUAACGGGACGUUUCACUGUUGAUAGUAGAAAUCACUGAUCUGUCGGGUCUAUUAUUUGUGGAACGACGAACUUUACUGUUUAAGCCAUGGUUCAUGUCCGAAUCAACCCAAUAGAUGUGGCGAUGUUGAAUUGUUAGAGAUUUUAUGGAGAAGGUCGAUGAUUAAGAGUAUAUUGAAGUAUUAUUUACGAGGGCGAAUUGUUAUGUAUGCACUUGUAGUGUAAUGAUAUAUGUAGACCGGGCUUCCUUUGAUUCGGGAUUCAGUGAAGGAAUUUCAUCAAGGCUUAGAUUUAAUUCUAUCUCUUUACACUUUUUCCCCUGAGCAAAAAAUACACUGCAACGAAAAAAUAUUUUGUUAAUUCAGAGGAUAAUUCUUUGACUCGAAUAAACUCAAAUAAAUUGUCAUAAUCCCGAAGAAACGUUGCAUUCAAUUUAUUCAAGUUAAUUUUAGUUAAAAUCAUUAUUCUUUGAAUUAAAAAAAUAUUUCUUUGAUACCAUUCGAAGAAAUAUUUCUUUGGGUUAAUGAGCAUUUUCUUCUCAGUGUAGAAUCCGCUGAUAUGGUAGAGAAUUCCUUUUAUUCAACCAUGUGCCAUUGUUGAUAGCAGAGAAUUAAUUCCAAAUAUUUCUAAAAACGGCGAACUGAAGCUUUCGGAGAGUAAUGUAAUUACAUAGGUUACUGCAGAUAUUUUCUAAAAAAAAAAGAAAAAAAGAGGGAGAAAGGACGUAUAUUGCCAAUCCUUAUGCUUAAAUUGACUUUUCGUUGUUUUAUGGUUUAUUAUGAUACAUUACACACUGAAUAUCCCACGGUGAAGUUACUCAGGCUGUACUAAAGUACUGAACCGUACAAAAUGGCAGAAAAUUCUUAUACAGCCACGAUGUAUAACGUAUAUUGUAGAGUUAUAAUGAAAUGCGAGGAAAUCGAGAUCCGAUUUAUAAAGAAAAAUAUCGGUUCCGAAAUGAACGUCGAGGAAAUGGUCAUUUGACGUUCUGAGAUGUGGUUACAAAAUACAGAAAUAAUAUAAGGUCGAAUUCCCCAUGUUCGUCAUGUCGGUACUUAAUUGUAACAAGAACCUUACAUAAUGGUACCUUGUUGUAUGCGAUAUAAUAAGUCAACGUUCAAGGAUGAUCGGAACGUGUCAGGAACGAUCUGCGAUCAUGAUGCGAGCUGUAAAUACUCGUUAUAAUUAUAAAAUGUAAAUAAUAUUAUCGAAACAAAAGAUUAUUAUAUAUCAUCGAUGACCAAUUAGCAUGAUCACUCUCGAGCGUUUUCACACCAAGGUGAUUGGAUAUCGAAUAGCUACGGAUUAAUUAUGUUCAAUGCUUUACAUAUUUUGAUGUCUAGACGUUCCGUUGGCAGUCCGUAGUGAUUUUUAUAAAUGUUGAAAUGUUGCAUGUACCUCAAAUUGAACGAUGCAAAUUUUUCUUAUGAUUUUUUUAUGGCAGUUGUUGAACUUGAGUGGAUCCUCCAGAGAUUACAAACACAUGUGAAUGAUGUUUUUUUUAUUUUAUAUAUAUAUAUAUAAUGCACUUUGAAUAAGAUAUGUCAUAAAAUAUAUUUGCAUUAACAAGAGAAAAAAAAAUGGUUGAUAUGAUUGGUCUAUUAUGUUGGUUUGUUUAAUUUAUAGAAAGUAUAGGAUUAAAAUUAAUUUGUAAGUCUAAUUGCUACUGUAGCUGUGGUUACGAUUAGUAAGUGUGGAAGUAUUGUUGUCGAUAUUUGGAUGUUUACAUAAACUAUUUGAAAUCACUCGGAGUCUAUGCUAAUUGGAUUCCAAACAAAGUCCCGUAUGCCUUGCAAACAUGUAUUUUGUUGAAAUUAGAGAUGAACUUUAUGUGAUUUGUAAUAACUCACGCGUAUCUGAUGAACUUAACUCUAAUUGGAGUCAAGGAAAGUGUAUAAAUGUAUUGUUUAGAGAUCAUAUGUAUAAUAAUAUAAUUAAAGGAAAAUACAAAGCGCA